rnacentral:rRNA from 1 species
UGCCCACUGAUGGAUAAAAUUAAAGGGCUGCAGUAAUUUGACUGUACAAAGGUAGCAUAAUCAUUAGUCAUUUAAUUGAUGACUUGUAUGAAAGAUUGGAUGAAAUAUAAACUGUCUUUAUUGUAGUUUUAGAAUUUAAUUUUUUAAUUAAAAAGUUAAAAUAAAUAAAAAAGACGAGAAGACCCUAUAGAGUUUAAUUAUUUUAUUGAUGGUUAAUUUUUGUAAAUUAUUAAUCUUAUAAAUUGAUAAGAUAAUUUUGUUGGGGUGAUGGAAAAAUUAAAUUAACUUUUUUUUAAUUAAUUAAUAAAAUAAACAUAAAUAAAUGAUUUAAUGAUCCAGUAUUACUGAUUAUAAGAAAAAAUUACCUUAGGGAUAACAGCGUAAUUUUUUUUUUUAGUUCAUAUAAAAAAAAGAGUUUGCGACCUCGAUGUUGGAUUAAGAUAAAAUUUAAAUGUAGAAGUUUAAAGUUUUGA